GAUGAACGCUAGCGAUAGGCCUAACACAUGCAAGUCGAGGGGCAGCAUAGAGUAGCAAUACUUUGAUGGCGACCGGCGCACGGGUGAGUAACACGUAUGCAACCUACCUACAUCAGGGGAAUAACCCGGAGAAAUUCGGACUAAUACCGCAUAAUACAGGGAUGCCGCAUGGCAAUAUUUGUUAAAGAUUUAUCGGAUGUAGAUGGGCAUGCGUUCCAUUAGCUUGUUGGUGAGGUAACGGCUCACCAAGGCAACGAUGGAUAGGGGAACUGAGAGGUUUGUCCCCCACACUGGAACUGAGACACGGACCAGACUCCGACGGGAGGCAGCAGUGAGGAAUAUUGGUCAAUGGACGAGAGUCUGAACCAGCCAAAUCGCGUGAAGGAAGACUGCCCUACGGGUUGUAAACUUCUUUUGUACAGGAAUAAAAGACAUUACGUGUAAUGUAUUGCAUGUACUGUACGAAUAAGCAUCGGCUAACCCCGUGCCAGCCGCCGCGGUAA
rnacentral:rRNA from 1 species